GAACGCCGCGCCCGAGCACCUGCGCCUGCAGCGGAGUCCGUCGACAUCCUUAGGAAGAUAUUCCUCCUCCUCGACUCCCCCGCCGACCUCGCACGGGCCUGCGCGGCGAGCCCCAGUUUCCGCCGCGUCAUCACCGACCCGGGCUUCCUCCGACAAUCCCGCGCCCUCCACCCGCCGCCCCUCCUCGGCAUCUGCUGCAACCACGCCUUCCUACCUGCCGAGCCGCCGCAUCCCUCCGCCUCCGUGGCCCGCAAGUUCGUCGACGACGCCGGCGGCAUCGACUUCACAUGCAAAUCCUUCCUCCCAGCUGGCCCCGGCCCAUGGGUUUUCCGCGAGUCACGCGACGGCCGUGCUCUCCUCACCGGUGAAAUCCAGCCGGGAGGCUGCUGCGGAAGCCACAGCUCCUUGUGCAGGCCCCUUGCCGUCUGCGACCCCCUCCACCGCCGGUACGUCGUGCUGCCUGCCAUCCCAGAGGACCUAGCCGUGUUGGUCGACCACGGGUCACGCCUCAACGACUUCAAGCCCUUCCUCGCUCCACACGCCCGGGAUGAGCCGGAUGGGUUCUUCUCUGCUAAUCCUCUUAGUGAUCCCGAUGAGGGCGACGGUGAAAAGGAUGCAUUAAUGCAACCAUCAUACAGAGUGAUGUGCUUGGUGCAGUGUGAAGGCAAGCUGUCCCUCUUCACCUUCUCUUCCAGCGGCGCCGCCGCAGGACGACCAUGGCGAGCGGUCAAGUGCGACGACUGGAACGCUUUGGGCCAAGACCCCCACCACCCAUACAGCAGGUCGGUCCUACGGCACAACUACGUGCACGGGCGGUUCUAUUGGACAAUCUACCCCGGGGCCAAGAAGAUCCUCGUGAUCGACGCACGGUGGAGCACGCCGGAGCUCUCCAUCAUAGACUCUCCGCCUGAUUCCUACUGUUUCGGCAAGACCUUCGUGGAGGCGACAGGCGAACAAGAGCGGCUCUAA
rnacentral:rRNA from 1 species